CUGAGGUAGUCAUUGCCAUGUUCGAUAAUGUACUCCACCCACCACACUGCUCUCUCCAGCCCCGUCUCCUUCUGCGCCUUCAGCCGUCGCGACAAGCUCUGCACACGCUCCAGGUACCUGGUGUCAUUGACGACGGUGUGGACAGCGUCGACGAGGGCGCGAGGUGUGAGGUGCUCCCACUGGAGGACGAGGCCCUCGCCACGGCGGGCCAGCCUGGCGCAGGUCCUGGGCUGGUCGAAGGUGAUGGGCAGGCCCACCAUCGGCACCCCGUGGUACACCGCCUCGGCGGCACUGUGUUUCCCGCAGUGGGUCACGAAGGCCUUCGUCGCCGGGUGACCUGUGGGACGCAAACACACUUCCAAAUGAAUAUCACUCAUGUUGCAGUACAUUUAUGACAUUAACAGGUAUAUAUUUUGUGAUUUAGACAAUGCCAAACAUCUCAGACUCCUGCUUCAAGCACAACCGUGACAGAUAAACCAUCAGGACAUAAAACAAUAUCUGUCAUGUGCUGAAUAUUAAGUCAACAAAAGGUUACUUUUCAAAUUCAGAUUAGUUUCAUAUUAAUAAAACGUAUGUUUGGUCUACGUUCUCAACAUACAAUCAGGGAUCCCGGGUUCGAUCCCCAAGUGGGACAGAAAUGGUUGGGCAUGUUUCCUUUCAGCAAAUGAGCCUGUUCACCUAGCGACAAAUAGGUAGCCUAAUAUAAGCGUCGACAGCGUUUAUGGGCUAUUCAUGUCCGUGCCACCUCUUGGGUGGCUUAAUCUUCAUUAAUCAACGACAGUGUCAGUCUGUCUAAAUUCGUAUAGAUGCUUGAGAGACUCCACACAUCUUCACCAUUCACCAGCAACAAUGCAACACUCGUCGUGUCCAGUUCCUGCCCUCACAAGACGCUGAGGCCUCGACAAAGAGCAGACAGCCAGACUCCGGCCGCAUCCAGCUUCAACGCUCUCGUCCAGCACUGGAGCUCUUCGACUCCGUCCGCAUUCUGAGCGCCACACACUACACACACACUCACCCCACAUCCGGGCUCUCCACCCCGGCCUCACUCAGCUCUUUACCCUGUUCCAGAGUUCGUCUCAACUACUACAACACUUCACUACACUGCUAACAACCCGGCUGCUGUAACCAAGACUAUACUAAAUAAAUAAUAAAAAAAUC